UUAGAGGUGCCGGGGCUUCUCCCGUUU
rnacentral:tRNA from 1 species